UGGGGAAUAUUGCACAAUGGGCGAAAGCCUGAUGCAGCAACGCCGCGUGAGUGAUGAAGGCCUUCGGGUUGUAAAGCUCUGUCUUUUGGGACGAUAAUGACGGUACCAAAGGAGGAAGCCACGGCUAACUACGUGCCAGCAGCCGCGGUAAUACGUAGGUGGCAAGCGUUGUCCGGAUUUACUGGGCGUAAAGGAUGCGUAGGCGGAUUUUUAAGUGAGAUGUGAAAUACCCGGGCUUAACUUGGGUGCUGCAUUUCAAACUGGGAAUCUAGAGUGCGGGAGAGGAGAAUGGAAUUCCUAGUGUAGCGGUGAAAUGCGUAGAGAUUAGGAAGAACACCAGUGGCGAAGGCGAUUCUCUGGACCGUAACUGACGCUGAGGCAUGAAAAGCGUGGGUAGCAAAACAGGAAUUAGAUACCCUGGUAGUCCACGCCGUAAACGAUGAGUACUAGGUGUAGGAGGUAUCGACCCCUUCUGUGCCGCAGUUAACACAAUAAGUACUCCGCCUGGGAAGUACGAUCGCAAGAUUAAAAACUUAAAGGAAUUGAC
rnacentral:rRNA from 1 species